rnacentral:tRNA from 1 species
GCUCGAGUGGUGUAGUGGUCAAACACGCCAGCACCAAACAGAGAGGAAAGGGAUCAGUGCGGCAGGGUCCUUAAGAGACCCUGCGCGAUCUCUAUAGUCCUGGCUUCGGCUGCUGGAAAGCCUGGGUUCGAAUCCCAGCUCGAGCA